GUGGGUGUAGCUCAGUGGUAGAGUGCAUGCUUAGCAUGCACAAGGUCCUGGGUUCAAUCCCCCAGUACCGUCA
rnacentral:tRNA from 1 species